rnacentral:lncRNA from 1 species
GCUAGAUCGUGUAGUGUUUAUCUUUUUUCCCUUAAUACGGGAUGAUUUAGCGUUUUGAGACCUUGAAUGCUAUUUUAUGUAGUGUUUUACUCUUAAAACGUCAAAUCGUUUUAUGUGUUACAGUGAUUUUUAGAUCCAAGUGUAAUAUAAUUUAGCAUUUUUUUUGGUAAAAAUCAUAACAUUACAUUAUCCGGUGUUAAUAAAUGAUAUUUUGGGCACUUUA